AGCCCGGGGAGCAGGGAGCCCACGACCCCUUCGGCGCGCGUGCGCGGUGCGGUUCACACGCACCCCCCCCCCCCCCAACCCCCGCCCGGGCCGCAGAGGCCUCGGCGGCGCCAGUCUCGGCUCCGGGAGCGCGGCAGGCGGCAAAACCCGGGCCGGACAGGGGCGCGGAUCGUACGGCGUGGCGGGGCCGGAGAAGCUGCGGAGUUCCCAGUCGGGCCCCAGAGGCGAAGGAUCGGCCGAGGGCAAAGCCAUGUCUGCGGUUGCCAGGACCUGAAGAUGCAGGAGCGACCCGAACUGUUUCUGGAAAAGUCAUAUUUUCCAGGCUUUCGUCAAAUAGUCGCCGCUCCUGUUCUAAAUCCGGAGGCGGCUGUGCAUCUAUUUCAAGGAGAAAGGAAGAUGUGGUGAGAAUCGAACCGGAGAGUCUUGCCUGAGCUGUUUCUCCAACCACUGCCCUGGAAUAAUUUAACUGGCUGAAGCAAGACUCUGUCUUUUGAAGCUCAGGGCUCUGUUGCAAUCGAGGGCUGCCGGUCACAUUGGGCAUUCUCCUACGGAUUACCGAAGAACAGAGAGUCAUUUUUCAUCCCCUAUGCCAUCUGGCUCCAGCAACUACAAGACCUUUCUGGGCCUCAAUAACUUCAUCUGUGAAAUGAAGGAAACGAAGAUGCCACACUUGGAGAGUUGUUUUGAGAAUGAAAACAUAUAUAGACUCAUAAUGAAUGCUGUACUGUGAUCCCACAACCCCUGUUGAUUGUCCUAGCCACCGGGGAUGUCAAACAGAGAUGCCCACAGCUCAUUUUUCAGUCCUCUUGGGAAACAAUGACUUGGCAGCACCAGCUUGCAAGGUCCAACUUCCUUGCCUCGGUUUAGGAAAGAAUGGCCAGAUCCAUCCAAGCAUGUCAGGGCACCAGGCAUCACUCCUGAAAGAGAUGUUAGAGAUCUCUUGCCAAAGUCAUCCUGGAGCCUUUUGGAAGCCGAAGAUUGGAUGCAUCUUUACUCUAGUCAUCUAACAACUUUAAAUAUUACUCAACACUCUUUUAGAAACCCCAGAAAGGGAAGCAAUAGAUGCAAUCUCCAAAUCAUUUAAAGUGCAAACUUGUCAAAGCAGAAAAAAGGAGAGAGGGUCCCUUCGUGUGCAGCUGCUCUGGAGGCCAUUCACUCAUCGGUAACGAGGUCUCCUUCCUCUGUACCAGCUGGGAUCGCCUCAAGGCCUGGGGGGUAUGCCCUGUGUGCUAUGAGACGUUAUUAGCAUUCAACACCCCUUUCUGUGGCUGCAAAAUGACCAGCACUUUCGUGGGUCUUUUGACCGGUAUAUCUCCUGCUUUGUCAUAUUCAGGACAGGUGCACAUAUGCACAAUUGAAUGGCCUGUUUCCCCUUCGUGCUGCUUGGCAAAGCAAGCCUACUGAGUACUGUACAGCAGUUGGUGAUAAAUCUUUGCUUUUAUUCUUAUUUUGCAGAAGAAAACCUAGGAAAAGUCCUUUUCGCUCGGAACGCUUUCAAGAAGAGGGCUGGAGUGUAGCUGAGUAAUGAGGCUCUGUCCUGGGGAGGACAGUUGGAGAUCUCACUCAGUUGGUAAAGUGUUUGCCCAAGAGAGGAGGGCUAAGAUGUAGCUCGCUGGUAAAGCACUUCUCUAGAUUUUUUUUGAAAGACGCUGUGUUCAAUCCUCAGGGUUUCAUGAAAAAAUGGGCAGGAAAAGUGAGGUGCCGGGCAGCAGCUAGACAUCAGGCCUGAUGCUAGGGUCCUAGCUCACAUUUGGGAACUGAAUCCACACCUUGACACUUGGAGGUAGCUGGCACCGUCCUCAGCUUAGAGAGGAGCAGAGAGUUUGGAAGGAUGGAGGAUGUGCCUUGGGUGCCUCUGAGGGAAAGCAUCAGACUGGCAUGUGAACUACUCUGGUCUCAAGUCUUACAGUGUCAUGUGCCCUUAGGCCAGUGACCAGCUCCAAAGCUUGCUUAUCUCCUUCGUAGCUUCCUCUCUGCCAUUGUCCUCAUUUUAAAUUUGAUUUAAUUUAUCAUUAGUAGUAGUGGGUGCCAUAUAUGUGCACAGUGCCUGUGUGGAGAUCAGGGGACAACUUUUGGGACUCAGUUCUCUCCUUCCAUUAGUGUUUCUUGGGAACGGAAUUCAGCCCUCUGGCUUGGACUCUUAUCUGCUGAGCUAGCACAUUUGCCCUGGGUUCUACUUCUGGAAAAAAAAAAAAAAAAAAAACUAUAGGAAGUUGCCCAACUAGAUCAAAACUGUUGUCACCUGGGGAUGGAGCAAUGCUCUCACAAAGGACACAGUUCGGUUCCCAGCACCCACACAAUGGCUCAUAGCCAUCUGUAAUUUAAGUUCCAGAGGACCCAAUGCCCUCUUCAGACCUCAUCUUCUACUGCCCUGGUGACACUUAGGUAUAUUCACAAACCCACGAAAUAAAAUUAGUAUUUAAAAAAUAUUAUCGAUCUACAACCAUUCAACCAGGGUGGUGAGUUAUGAAAUGGAGCACAAGAAGGUGA